rnacentral:rRNA from 1 species
AUUGAACGCUGGCGGAAUGCUUUACACAUGCAAGUCGAACGGUAGAGGGGGCAACCCCUUGAGAGUGGCGAACGGGUGAGUAAUAUAUCGGAACGUGCCCAGUCGUGGGGAUAACGUAGCGAAAGUUACGCUAAUACCGCAUACGAUCUACGGAUGAAAGCGGGGGACUCGCAAGAGCCUCGCGCGAUUGGAGCGGCCGAUAUCAGAUUAGCUAGUUGGUGGGGUAAAGGCCUACCAAGGCUUCGAUCAGUAGCUGGUCUGAGAGGACGACCAGCCACACUGGAACUGAGACACGGUCCAGACUCCUACGGGAGGCAGCAGUGGGGAAUUUUGGACAAUGGGCGAAAGCCUGAUCCAGCAAUGCCGCGUGAGUGAAGAAGGCCU